rnacentral:tRNA from 2 species
GCCGGCGCGUAGCAUGGAUAGCGCGGUAGCCUCCUAAGUUACAGGUCGAGGGAUCGAAGCCCUCCGAACCCGCU